rnacentral:rRNA from 1 species
CUAUGCGCCUUGCCCAGCCCGCUCAGGUGUGCCAGCAGCCGCGGUAAUACAGAGGUCUCAAGCGUUGUUCGGAAUCACUGGGCGUAAAGCGUGCGUAGGCGGUUUCGUAAGUCGUGUGUGAAAGGCGGGGGCUCAACCCCCGGACUGCACAUGAUACUGCGAGACUAGAGUAAUGGAGGGGGAACCGGAAUUCUCGGUGUAGCAGUGAAAUGCGUAGAUAUCGAGAGGAACACUCGUGGCGAAGGCGGGUUCCUGGACAUUAACUGACGCUGAGGCACGAAGGCCAGGGGAGCGAAAGGG